GACGAACGCUGGCGGCGUGCCUAAUACAUGCAAGUCGAACGCAGUGGGGACGGGUGAGUAACACGUGGGUAACCUCCCAUCAGAGGGGAUAACACUUGGAAACAGGUGCUAAACCGAUACUGAUGGAUGGACCCGCGGUGCAUUAGCUAGUUGGUGAGGUAACGGCUAACCAAGGCCAAGAUGCAUAGGCUGCCGUGGAGGGUGUGCUGCCCCCCUGGGAAUGAGACACGGCCCAGACUCCUACGGGAGGCCGCAGUAGGGAAACUUCGGCAAGGGACGAAAGUCUGAACCGGCAACGCCGCGGUGGGGAAGAAGGUUUUCGGAUCGUAAAACUCUGUUGUUAGAGAAGCUGUAUCUAACCAGAAAGCCACGGCUAACUACGUGCCAGCAGCCGCGGUAAUAC
rnacentral:rRNA from 1 species